AUGUUAUCGAGCCACAAAUUCUAUAAUGCAUAGUUGUAACUUGGAGCCAUUUAUAGUUUCUUUUGAUAUUUCUUCAUUUGAAUUAGAAAUCAAGAAGCUCCAUAGUAUAUUUGCGUCAAAAAUCAUUAAUAUUUGGAGAAAAAGUCACCCUGCUUUUGAAGUUGCCAAAUUAUGAUAUCUUUUACUUUCUUAUUAAUUGAUAUUAAACAGAAUGAAAUACAAAUUGGGUAGGUUUGUAUGGGUGGUUUUUGUGGUGCUCAAAUAAAUGUUGAGUUCUUGAUUCCAGUAUAGAGUGUCCCUAUGACUUGUGUCCAUAUGCAUGUCAAGGAAUUUUCUGAUAAAAUUCCUAGAGAAACUUGAAGAUUUUG
rnacentral:misc_RNA from 1 species